rnacentral:lncRNA from 1 species
GGGGGGUUGUAAGUGUCAAUGUUGAAAGUUGAGGGGUAAAGCUCUGUUGUUAAAAGCGAUCGCCUGGUCCGCCUAGGCAACCAAGUCGACCAAACUGCGCUUUUGUCUCCUAGAUAUAAAAAAAAGCAACGUGUUUUUUUUUAAAACACCAUCUUUUAAAAACAACCCAGAUUAUAUUUACAGCUAAUUUAAAAUCUUUUAGAAUCAUAUCUCAGCAAAUCUGUAUAUAUUUUUAAAAGAUAUUUUGAAUUUCAAAAAGUUAGAUAUAUUAUUUUUAUAUUCAAUAUUCAUUCAUGUUCUUUAUAUAACAAACUAAGACGUAUACACAGCAUUCAGUUCUGCUUUUUUUUGCCGGCAAAAAAUACUGCUGGAAAAGUGAAUGCUGCUAAUGCUGCUAGAAAAGACUAUUAGCACCGUAUAUUCUUAUUAUUAUUUAGAUUAUUCUAGAAUGUUUAUAUUUAUGUAAUAGGAUUCUUUGUAAAUUAGGAAUUAUUAUAUGUUCCUAAUUAGGUGCUAGUUUAGGUUCAUGGUUCUUCCCUAUAUAAAGGGAUCUCUUGUAUUCUAUUCAAUCAAUCAAUAAUAUCAAUCCAUGAACACUUUCAAAGACAAGGCAAUUGUUGUGGAUGACGACUCCGAUUCCAAUGAUUUUUAAAAUUGAAGAACAUUUGGUUUUGAAUUUUAUUUACUUUUCGAAGUCUGAACUUUGUUGUUUUCCAGUCUUAACAGUUUUUGGUUUAUGAUAUUUGAAAACUUUUGGAAUUUGAGGAUUUGGCUUUUUUCGGUUCAUAACUUUGUUGUUUAAUGUUUUUAUUUGAUUGCGCUUUUUUUCCUCAGGCCCUCGCUUUUUUUUGCGCUUCUCGCCUAGGCGACAGGCGAGCCCUAUGCGCCUAUAGUGCGCCUAGCGCAUUUGAUAACUAUGGGGUAAAGCCGUAAAGGUAAAAAAAAAGACACCAA